rnacentral:misc_RNA from 1 species
GCCAGAGCUCUUGGUACACGCUGCUCUAAUCCUGACGCGGAGAGCGGCGGCGGUGGUCGUGCUACGCGGAGAGCUCCUUGAGGCUGGUGCUCUGGGAUUCAGCUCCUUCUCUCACGCCCGCUGUCAUGCCUGGUGUCACGGGUAACUUUUGGGAGUACCCAUUUUGACGGUCGCCGCUGCAGGGGUACCCGCGGGGAGCUCUCCUUGCCGCCGGUGCAGUUGCCAGGGGCCCUUCGCUCCCCCCGCGGACAGGCUACGUGGAGCGCCGUCAGCUCUUGUGUUGCAGUUUACUUUCGCGGCCGCUUGGCGAUUUGGAAUAAGGGUUGUGGGGCUGCGAGGAUGGGCGGCACACCGCCCAUGACGUGACGGGGCGCCUUGCGUGGGCGCCGCCCAUGGCCAUGGACCACGCCCACGGCACCCACGCCCCUCACGACAUCUCCACGCCUACCUCCCGUCCCGAACACGCCCGUGGGCGUGGCCACGCACGUUCCCGGAGCCGUGACGCUUCGGCAGACUCGCACCACCACGCCCGUGACGCCUCGCUAGGAAGCAGCGCGCGGCGGGUUGGUGGUGGUGGUGGUGCAGGAGGAGGAGGAGGAGGAGGAGGGGGGGGAGGAGGAGGAGUUGGGGGCGGUGGCGGGGAAGAAGGUGGUACAACCAACUCGAGAGGCUCCUCACCUGCCCGCGCCCACACUCAUUCGGCUACGCCUGCGCACACUACGCCACCCACUUUACUAAGGCACGCCCAUAACCUGUAAUGAUGAAGCCAAGCACGCCCACGCUGGUACGCCGGCGCCCACACCCGCCCCUCGUCCGACAGUUUUCUUUGCCGCAGGUGCUCAG